GCUGGGUGUGGUGGCCCACGCCUGUAAUCCCAGCACUUUGGGAGGCUGAGGCAGGUGGAUCAUUUGAGGUCAGGAAUUCGAGACAAGCCUGGCCAACAUGGUGAAACCCUGUCUCUA
rnacentral:sRNA from 1 species